rnacentral:rRNA from 1 species
UACGUAGGGCGCGAGCGUUGUCCGGAUUUAUUGGGCGUAAAGAGCUCGUAGGCGGCUUGUCGCGUCGUCCGUGAAAACCUGGGGCUCAACCCCAGGCUUGCGGUCGAUACGGGCAGGCUCGAGUUCGGUGAGGGGAGACGUGGAAUUCCUGGUGUAGCGGUGAAAUGCGCAGAUAUCAGGAGGAACACCGGUGGCGAAGGCGGGUCUCUGGGCCGAUACUGACGCUGAGGAGCGAAAGCGUGGGGAGCGAACAGG